UACGUAGGUGGCAAGCGUUGUCCGGAUUUACUGGGUGUAAAGGGAGCGCAGGCGGCACGGCAAGCCUGAUGUGAGAGCCCGCGGCCCAACCGCGGGACUGCAUUGGGAACUACCGGGCUGGAGUGCCGGAGAGGUAGGCGAAAUUCCUAGUGUAGCGGUGAAAUGCGUAGAUAUUAGGAGGAACACCAGUGGCGAAGGCGGCCUACUGGACGGUGACUGACGCUGAGGCUCGAAAGCGUGGGGAGCAAACAGG
rnacentral:rRNA from 1 species